UGGACUGUCCCACGUAUAUGACCGGCUCAGGACCUGGUAGAAAGCCUAUCGCAUAGAUGCCUUCAGAUUGUGGCGCUUCAGCAAGAUGGUCUCUAAUAUUUGUCAACGCUUAAUCAAUAAAGUCUGGAGAUCGUACGCCAGUGAUCUCGACAAAGCACCUCAUGCUGAAGGCAUUUAUACCAUAGGCUACGAGGAUCCAGAUGGCGAGGUUGAGUACAUCUAUCUGGGGCAUUCCAACGACAUUCGGAGGCGACUAAAGGAGCACAAGCGACAGGAUUUGGAUAUCGAUGAGUUUGUAAAAGAUGAAUUCCGUCUAAACAAUGGGCAAGAGCUGAGAAUUAAAUGGGUAGAGGAGAAAGAUAGCGAAUGUGUUGAAGGAGAAUACCUCGAUUGUAUGCAUAAAAAACUCGGUUAUUGGCCAGAGUAUAACAAAAAGCGUGGAAACGAAUGUGAAUAGGUCUCCCUAAGAUCUAUUAAAUGUACUGAAGGCAUACAUUUGAGAUGUAGCUUUAAUAGUUGAAUUUCAAGCGUACAUUUAUGAAAACUAUUCAUGAUUCUUAUUAGAGGGUUAGAUGUGAGAUUUUAAUUAAUAAACUUGUAACUUCAACCAUAA